CACGUAGGGUGCAAGCGUUGUCCGGAAUUAUUGGGCGUAAAGGGCGCGUAGGCGGCCUCCGCAAGUCAGUUGUGAAAUCUCCGAGCUUAACUCGGAAAGGUCAACUGAUACUGCGGGGCUAGAGUGCGGAAGGGGCAACUGGAAUUCUUGGUGUAGCGGUGAAAUGCGUAGAUAUCAGGAGGAACACCGGCGGUGUAGACGGCUUUCUGGACCGUAGCUGACGCUGAGACACGAAAGCGUGGGUAGCAAACAGG
rnacentral:rRNA from 1 species